GGGUUGUGAGGUUAAGCGACUAAGCGUACACGGUGGAUGCCCUGGCAGUCAGAGGCGAUGAAGGACGUGCUAAUCUGCGAUAAGCGCCGGUAAGGUGAUAUGAACCGUUAUAACCGGCGAUUUCCGAAUGGGGAAACCCAGUGUGACUCGUCACACUAUCAUUAACUGAAUCCAUAGGUUAAUGAGGCGAACCGGGGGAACUGAAACAUCUAAGUACCCCGAGGAAAAGAAAUCAACCGAGAUUCCCCCAGUAGCGGCGAGCGAACGGGGAGGAGCCCAGAGCCUGAAUCAGCAUGUGUGUUAGUGGAAGCGUCUGGAAAGGCGCGCGAUACAGGGUGACAGCCCCGUACACAAAAGCGCAUGUGUUGUGAGCUCGAUGAGUAGGGCGGGACACGUGGUAUCCUGUCUGAAUAUGGGGGGACCAUCCUCCAAGGCUAAAUACUCCUGACUGACCGAUAGUGAACCAGUACCGUGAGGGAAAGGCGAAAAGAACCCCGGCGAGGGGAGUGAAAAAGAACCUGAAACCGUGUACGUACAAGCAGUGGGAGCCCCACCACUAAGCCAGUGGUGAACUCCACAUACGCAUCCUUUGCUGAAGGUGCGGUUAACGGAGCGCAAGCGACGUUCAACCUCAAAAGAAGCAGAGGGGGC
rnacentral:rRNA from 1 species